GGCCUCGUGGCCCAAUGGCAAGGCGUCUGACUACGAUGGAAGGGUUGUCUGAAGAUAAAACGGAUAAGCCAUCUCUGAUAAUCAGGAGAUUCUGGGUUCGACCCCCAGCGAGGUCA